UACGUAGGUGGCAAGCGUUGUCCGGAUUUACUGGGCGUAAAGAGCGCGCAGGCGGCCGAGUAAGUCGAAUGUGAAAGCCCCCGGCUCAACUGGGGAAGGUCAUUCGAUACUGUUCGGCUUGAAGAUAGGAGAGGGAAGCGGAAUUUCAGGUGUAGUGGUGAAAUGCGUAGAUAUCUGAAGGAACACCAGUGGCGAAGGCGGACUUUCUGGCCUAUUCUUGACGCUGAGGCGCGAAAGCUAGGGGAGCGAACGGG
rnacentral:rRNA from 1 species